rnacentral:rRNA from 1 species
UGGGGAAUUUUGGGCAAUGGGCGCAAGCCUGAUCCAGCCAUGCCGCGUGAGUGACGAAGGUCUUCGGAUUGUAAAACUCUUUUGGCGGGGACGAUAAUGACGGUACCCGCAGAAUAAGCCCCGGCUAACUUCGUGCCAGCAGCCGCGGUAAUACGAAGGGGGCUAGCGUUGUUCGGAAUCACUGGGCGUAAAGCGCACGUAGGCGGAUGUGCCAGUCAGGGGUGAAAUCCCGGAGCUCAACUCCGGAACUGCCUCUGAUACUGCACGUCUUGAGUUCGAGAGAGGUGGGUGGAAUUCCUAGUGUAGAGGUGAAAUUCGUAGAUAUUAGGAAGAACACCGGUGGCGAAGGCGGCCCACUGGCUCGAUACUGACGCUGAGGUGCGAAAGCGUGGGGAGCAAACAGGAUUAGAUACCCCCGUAGUCCCUGAGCGGGCUGGCAAGGCGCAU